ensembl:lncRNA LINC03076 long intergenic non-protein coding RNA 3076
AGUCCUCUCCACCCCAAGGUAGGCAGCUUCCCGCUCCUCGUCUUGGGACCUAAACCCAGGAAGUCAAAUGUCCUUUUCUAGCAGGUCGCCUGGUUAGAGGCCGUGGACGAAGCGGUCCAGGCACAGCCAGCUGCAGGGCGCGGCCUCGGCGGCGCUGCUCGUGGCCCUGGUCAGUGAGCGCACUCACUCCUGGACUAAGCUCUAUGCAACUCAUUUUCAUCUAGCAUUACCUCUCCAAAACCUGAAUCUCCACAAGAAAGCCACACAGCAAUUAACCAGUGUUGCAAGAACUGCUUCUGUAAUAAAGGUGGGAAGACAAAUUGAUGCAACCCUCUUGAAAAGCAAUCUGGCAAUAUGAACCAAGAGCCAUGAAAAGGCUUAUGCUAUUAUAAUUAAAUGGCUGUAAUGUUGGCUGUAAAUAUGAAAUUUUCUUUCACACACCAAUGUUUUCAAGAAUGGCAUAUUCACAUGCAGUAUGUGAUGAAAGAAGCAGUAAAGGAUGCUAACAAAGCUAUUUCUUUGGACAAUCUGAACCUGACGGAGUCUUACUCUGUCGCCCAGGCAGGAGUGCAAUGGCACAAUCUUGGCUCACCACAACCUCCGCCUCCUGGGUUCAAGUGACUCUCCUGCCUGGCCAUAGAAGCAAACACAAACAUAGAGGAAUUGGCUUUGGGCAGAUGGAAGGACCUCAGAGAAAAGAAACAAAGGAAAGAAAACUGGAUGGAUAAAGGUUUGUAGAAAUACUAUUCACAGGAAGCAAAUAGGAAUUCCUUAUCGCUAAACAGACACUAAGUCAAUUGGAUCUUGCCAGCUGGUGCCUGGGUGCAUAGACUGCCUAUGGCUCUUGAAUUGCAUGCUGAAAACUUCAUAAUGAAACCAGAAAAUCACAGAAGCAUAAACACAGCUGCUUAUGCCUAUAAAUUAUUGCUGGUGAAAAGGAUGUUUAAGCAGAGUGAGAGACUCUCAGCAAAAAAAGGUAACUGAAAGAGUGGUAAGUCAGACAAAGAAGAAAAAUGCCAAAGAAGAGGGUCAAGAACAACUCAUAUGACUCCGAAAUCCCUUACCCACAUUGGAGUUAUAAAAAGUUCAGGAGCUGGAGACAAAAGGCAGGUUCAUAAAGAGGAUUCCUUGGA